AGAGCGAACGCUGGCGGCAGGCCUAAUACAUGCAAGUCGAACGGAUCCUUCGGGAUUAGUGGCGGACGGGUGAGUAACACGUGGGAACGUGCCCUUUGGUUCGGAACAACUCAGGGAAACUUGAGCUAAUACCGGAUAAGCCCUUCGGGGGAAAGAUUUAUCGCCAUUGGAGCGGCCCGCGUCUGAUUAGCUAGUUGGUGGGGUAAAGGCCUACCAAGGCUACGAUCAGUAGCUGGUCUGAGAGGAUGAUCAGCCACACUGGGACUGAGACACGGCCCAGACUCCUACGGGAGGCAGCAGUAGGGAAUCUUGCGCAAUGGGCGAAAGCCUGACGCAGCCAUGCCGCGUGAAUGAUGAAGGUCUUAGGAUUGUAAAAUUCUUUCAGCGGGACGAUAAUGACGGUACCCGCAGAAGAAGCCCCGGCUAACUUCGUGCCAGCAGCCGC
rnacentral:rRNA from 1 species